rnacentral:rRNA from 1 species
GUGAACGCUGGCGGUAGGCCUAACACAUGCAAGUCGAACGGCAGCACAGUAAGAGCUUGCUCUUACGGGUGGCGAGUGGCGGACGGGUGAGGAAUACAUCGGAAUCUACUUUUUCGUGGGGGAUAACGUAGGGAAACUUACGCUAAUACCUCAUACGACCUACGGGUGAAAGCAGGGGAUCUUCGGACCUUGCGCGAUUGAAUGAGCCGAUGUCGGAUUAGCUAGUUGGCGGGGUAAAGGCCCACCAAGGCGACGAUCCGUAGCUGGUCUGAGAGGAUGAUCAGCCACACUGGAACUGAGACACGGUCCAGACUCCUACGGGAGGAAGCAGUGGGGAAUAUUGGACAAUGGGCGCAAGCCUGAUCCAGCCAUACCGCGUGGGUGAAGAAGGCCUUCGGGUUGUAAAGCCCUUUUGUUGGGAAAGAAAAGCAGCAGGUUAAUACCCCGCUGUUCUGACGGUACCCAAAGAAUAAGCACCGGCUAACUUCGUG